UGGUUAAUGUGAAUUCAUGGCAAAAUGC
rnacentral:piRNA from 1 species